GGCCUCGUAGCUUAGUUGGCUAGAGCGUUGGCUGUAUUAAAGGUUUCUCCUCGCUGGCGUAGGUUCAAAUCCCACCGAGGCCA
rnacentral:tRNA from 1 species